rnacentral:lncRNA from 1 species
GAGGGAUGAAAGGGGAGGUGGUACCAAGCCUCAGCCCCAGGAGGUCCAGGAGAGCCGCAGAAGCGGGGGCAGGGGAGAAUAUCUUAGUCCAGAAGCUUGGAGCUCCUCACAGCCUUGCAGCUCCUCACAGCCUGGAGAAGAAAGACAAAGAGCUGGACUGAACUGGAGUCAGCACACAACUCUGAUGACUCUUCAUACCUACAUAUUCUACAAAGUCACUCUAAAGAGAUGUGGCUGAACUCAACAAAGUCCUCAUAAUGGGACGAAGUGACACUGCAGCAG